AUGGCCUGGACACUUCUCCUGCUCCCUCUCCUCACUCUCUGCACAGGUUCUGUGGCCCCUUCUGAGCUGACUCAGUUAACUGCGGUGUCUGUGGCCUUGGCACAGACAGCCAGGGUCACCUGCCAGGGAGAGAGACCAAAAAGUGUCUAUGCUGGCUGGUACCAGCAGAAGCCAGGCCAGGCCCCUGUAUGGGUCAUCUAUAGUAAAAACAAUUGGACCACAGGCACACCUGAACAAUUCUCUGCCUCUGACUCAGGGGACACAGCCACCCUGACCAUCAGUGGGGUCCAGUUUGAGGACGAGACUGACUAUUACUGUAACAGUUCCACCUCCACAGGGAUCCCUCAUGUUGUCCUUUAA